rfam:Candidate division WOR-1 bacterium RIFCSPLOWO2_02_FTLL_46_20 rifcsplowo2_02_scaffold_235, whole genome shotgun sequence.
CGGGCAGGCCAGACGAUCGCCCCUCGACUCCGCCGCAAGCGGUGUCGCUCGGGGAGGAAAGUCCGGACUCCAGAGAGCGGCGUGCUGGAUAAUAUCCAGUCAGAGUAAAAUCUGAAGGAAAGUGGCACAGAAAUUACACAGCCCACCCUAUCCCCAAAGGAUAGGAGGCGAUAGGUGAAACUGGGAGGUAAGAGCUCCCACACGUCAGCCAGGCAACUGGCGGUGCGCUAAACCCCACGCGGAGCAAGACCAAAUAGGGAGAUGAGCUGCUCGCUCGUUUGAAUCCCGAGUAGGUCGCGUUGAGGUAAAUAGAGAUAUUUAUCCCAGAUAGAUGAUCGUCGUUCUUCGAAGCUCUGGUUUAUCGGAGCGUAGAAGAAACAGAAUCCGGCUUAUCGGCCUGCCCCCACA